rnacentral:hammerhead_ribozyme from 1 species
AUCCAGCUGACGAGUCCCAAAAUAGGACGAAACACGCGUCCUGGAU